CACUAAGCGGAGGAAAAGAAACUAACGAGGAUUCCCUCAGUAACGGCGAGCGAAGCGGGAAGAGCCCAUCUCCGAACCGGCGCGGGGCGCGAGCCUCGUCACGAGCGCCGGAGUGUGGAGUGUGGGGACCGGGCCUCUGGCCCCACCCCGGUUGGCGACGCCGCCAAAUCCCAAGCCCGCGCGCAAGUCCCCUCGAACGGGGCCACGGCCCGAAGAGGGUGCCAGGCCCGUAGGCGCGGCGGCGGCGGAGCCUCGGGGGUCCCGGAGAGUCGGGUUGCUUGGGAGUGCAGCCCCAAGUGGGUGGUAAACUCCACCCAAGGCUAAACACGACCGCGAGACCGAUAGCGAACAAGUACCGCGAGGGAAAGUUGAAAAGAACUUUGGAGAGAGAGUUCAAGAGGGCGUGAAACCGCUCGGGUGAAAAACGGGUGGAACCUCGAAGGUCGACGGGGGAGUCAGGCCCUCGGCCCCGGGUGCCGCGUCGUGGUUUUUCGGAUGGCUCCCGGUGUCAAACCGGCCUGUCCUCUUCCUUUUUCCCCUCGGGGAGGGAGGAGGGGGGUAGCAGGCUCCGGGACUGCCUCCGGCCCCGCGGUUCUCCGGUUUUUUUGGUCCGGGGAGUCCGCACUUCCCCCGGUAGGACGCCGCCUCCGGUUGCUUCAUUUCAAAUGGGAGGCCUACGGCCCGGGUCGCUAGCAGGGUCCCUGGUUGUCCCGGCGCCCGGUGUCCCGGCCUCCCGGCGACCGAUAAAAGAGAUUUUAAUGAUUCGGCGGGCACACGCUCGGAGCAAACGCCGCGUUUUUCCGGUCCGGCGCUACGGUCCCCCGCGCGGGCGGGCAGGGUCCUCUAAUCGUGCGGAGCCGUCGCGAGACGACCCGCCGGAGGCCCGGCCGUCGGCCCGGCGGAGGAGUCGGCCGGCCGGCGCCGAGCAGACCCCGAGAUGAGAGAGGGCGGCGAGCAUGUUCGGCGGUCCACCCGCCCCGUCUUGAAACACGGGCCAAGGAGUCUAACACGUGCGCGAGUCCUCGGGUUUUAAACUAACUAAACCCGGAGGCGGAGCGAAAGCGAAGGCCUCGCAACCAAAGCGGGCCGAGGGGAGAUCCGGAAGGCCGAUGCCAGUGGGCCACGCGGCCGUCGGGGAGCCCGCUCCCCGCGCCGUCAGCCCGGUGUUCAAAACCUGCCGACCGGCGCAUCCUCGGGGCGUGCCGAACCCGGCAGAGGGUCGGGGCGCACCCAGAGCGCACGCGUCGGGACCCGAAAGAUGGUGAUCUAUGCCUGGCCAGGACGAAGCCGGGGAAAACUCGGUGGAGGUCCGCAGCGGUUCUGACGUGCAAAUCGAUCGUCGGAGCUGGGUAUAGGGGCGAAAGACCAAACGAACCAUCUAGUAGCUGGUUCCCUCCGAAGUUUCCCUCAGGAUAGCUGGCGCUCGCCGGAACGGAGUCUCAUCCGGUAAAGCGACUGAUUGGAGGAACCCGGGUCGCUGGGACCUGGACCUACUCUCAAACUUUGAAUGGGUGAGAAGCCGGGCAAGCCCGAGACGGUCGUAGCCCGAGCACUGACUGGAUCCGAGCGCCCAGUGGGCCACUUUUGGUAAGCAGAACUGGCGCUGUGGGAUGAACCAAACGCCGGGUUAAGGCGCCCGAAUCGCCGCUCAUGGGAUCCCAUGAAAGGCGUCGGCGGCUAAAGACAGCAGGACGGUGGCCAUGGAAGUCGGCAUCCGCCAAGGAGUGUGUAACGACUCACCUGCCGAAGCCACCGGCCCUGAAAAUGGAUGGCGCUGAAGCGGCGUGCCCAUACCCGGCCGUCGUGGCAGAGCAUGCCCGGCAAAAAAGCCUGGGAAAAAAUGGGGGUAUCCGUUUUUUAUUUUUCUGAAUUUGUAUUUGUUGGGUUUUUAAAAGAGUCCCUCCCCUUUUCACACGUUAGGUUUUAAAACACAGGCCAAUUUAAGCCGCGACGAGUAGGAGGGCGCGGCGGUGGCGCAGAAGGGUCCGGGCGCGAGCCCGCCUGGAGCCGCCGCCGGUGCAGAUCUUGGUGGUAGUAGCAAAGAAUCCGGCGAGAUCCCGGAGGACCGAUGUGGAGUAGGGUUUCGUGGCGCCGGCAAUCGGCCACGAGUGAGUCGAUCCUAAGCCCGGAGACAAUUCCGGUCAGCGGAGGGUGUCCCGCUUUUUUUGAAAUAAAAGGACGAGUGAGCCCCUCCUCGACGGGCGAAAGGGAAGCCGGUGCAGAUUCCGGCACCCGGUCGCGGGCGCGGCCCGAAAGAGGCCCUCUCCGGAGGACCUACGGGGCGACCCAAGGAGACUCGGCGACGUCGCCGCGGCCGCCGGGAAGAGUUGUCUUUUCUGCCUGAGCCUCGAACUCCCUGAAAGGCCGUCGCCGCGCGCAAGGGACGACGUGGCGAAGAGCGCCCCGCAUGGCCGUUGGCGCCGGGGCGUCCGGCGGGCCGCGGCGGCCCGUGAAAAGCCGAGCGAGGGCGACGAGGAGCGUCGCGCCGGUCCGUACCGAAUUUCCGCAGCAGGUCUCCGAAGUGCGCAGCCUCUGGUCGAUGGAGCAAUGUAGGUAAGGGAAGUCGGCAAACUGGAUCCGUAACUUCGGGAGAAGGAUUGGCUCUGAGGGUCGCGGCGGUCGGGCGCGGGGCUUGAAGCGGGAGCUGUCCGGAAGGCUGGCCUCAGGGUGGAGCCGGAAGGGCGCCUGCGGGUCCCCGUGCUAGUCGACCGAGGGCCCUGUUUUCAUCCCCUUUCCCUCAUUCCCGUCUCCCUUCCCCCCCUCCUCCGGGGGGUGGGAGUUGGGGGUGGGUCUUUGGGAGGGGUGUGAGGGGCCCCGUCAUGGCCGGACGUCGACCGCCACGAGGCGACCGCGUCAGAACUGGCACAGACCGAGGGAAUCCGACUGUUUAAUCGAAACAUAGCCUCGCGAGGGCCCCGGAGGGUGUUGACGCGAGGUGAUUUCUGCCCAGUGCUCUGAAUGUCAAGGUGAAGAAAUUCGGGGAAGCGCGGGUAAACGGCGGGAGUAACUAUGACUCUCUUAAGGUAGCCAAAUGCCUCGUCGCCUAAUUAGCGACGCGCAUGAAUGGAUUAACGAGAUUCCCGCUGUCCCUAUCUACUGUCUAGCGAACCCACACCCAAGGGCACGGGCUUGGGCAAAUCGGCGGGGAAAGAAGACCCUGUUGAGCUUGACUCUAGUCUGGCGCGCGGGGAGUCGCGGGGGGCGUAGCGUAGGUGGGAGGCGGGACAUCGGGGAACGUCGCAUUUACCCGUCCGCCGGCCCUCUCCUCGUCUUCGGGCGAGGGGAACGGUCGCGCGGCGCGGGGGUGCGCGCCCGCCCCGUCGCCGUUGAAACACCACCACCCCCGCUGUCUCCUCGCUCACCCGGUCGAGCGGGCAACGGCCGGCCCCCUCGCCUUUCCGAGAGGGGGGCUGUGGGGCCGGCGGCGUCGAGCGGUCCAAGGAACGAACCCCCGUCGUCCGGCGUCAUCGGUGUCGCUCGGGAGGUCGCGUGGCGCCCCGGGGUGUCGGGGGGGUUGGGUCGGGGGGGUUCGCCCUUCCCUAUCUUUUCCCCUUCGUUCCCCUCGGGGUCCGCCGCGUUGCCGAACGGCGCUCCGUAGCCGCGACCGGGUCCGACCCGAGCCGGGGAAGAGCGUCAGGCGGGGAGUUUGACUGGGGCGGUACAUCCGUCAAAAGGUAACGCGGGUGUCCCAAGGUCGGCUCCGGAGGGACGGAAACCCUCCGUGGAGCAGAAGGGCAAAAGCCGGCCUGCCCCCGGGCGUCGGCAGCGCUCGGGGCCGCGAGAGCGCGGCCUAGCGAUCCUUUCCGUCCCCCGAGUUUGGGGCGAGAGGUGUCGGAAAAGUUACCACAGGGAUAACUGGCUUGUGGCGGCCAAGCGUUCGUAGCGACGUCGCUUUUUGAUCCUUCGAUGUCGGCUCUUCCUAUCAUGGCGAAGCAGAAUUCGCCGAGCGUUGGAUUGUUCACCCACCAACAGGGAACGUGAGCUGGGUUUAGACCGUCGUGAGACAGGUUAGUUUUACCCUACCGAUGGCCGGUCGUUGCGACGGUAGGCUCGCCUAGUACGAGAGGAACCGCGGGCCCGGGCAUUUGGUUUGGCGCCCGGCCGAUCGGCCGAGGGCGCGAGGCCAAGCCCGCGGGCGAACGC
rnacentral:rRNA from 1 species